UACGUAGGGGGCAAGCGUUGUCCGGAAUUAUUGGGCGUAAAGAGCUCGUAGGCGGUUUGUCGCGUCUGCCGUGAAAGUCCGGGGCUCAACUCCGGAUCUGCGGUGGGUACGGGCAGACUAGAGUGAUGUAGGGGGAGACUGGAAUUCCUGGUGUAGCGGUGAAAUGCGCAGAUAUCAGGAGGAACACCGAUGGCGAAGGCAGGUCUCUGGGCAUUAACUGACGCUGAGGAGCGAAAGCAUGGGGAGCGAACAGG
rnacentral:rRNA from 1 species